UACGUAGGGUGCAAGCGUUAAUCGGAAUUACUGGGCGUAAAGCGUGCGCAGGCGGUUAUGCAAGACAGAUGUGAAAUCCCCGGGCUUAACCUGGGAACUGCGUUUGAAACUACGGAGCUAGAGUGCGGCAGAGGGGGGUGGAAUUCCACGUGUAGCAGUGAAAUGCGUAGAUAUGUGGAGGAACACCGAUGGCGAAGGCAGCCCCCUGGGCCGACACUGACGCUCAGGCACGAAAGCGUGGGGAGCAAACAGG
rnacentral:rRNA from 1 species